GACGAACGCUGGCGGCGUGCUUAACACAUGCAAGUCGAACGAUGAACUCCCAGCUUGCUGGGGGGGAUUAGUGGCGAACGGGUGAGUAACACGUGAGUAACCUGCCCUGGACUCGUGGGAUAACCCCGAGAAAUCGGAGCUAACUACCGGAUAGGACCUGGAACCGCAUGGUUCUGGGUGGUAAAGUUUUUCGGUCUGGG
rnacentral:rRNA from 1 species